UACAGAGGUCUCAAGCGUUGUUCGGAUUCAUUGGGCGUAAAGGGCGCGUAGGCUGCGGGGCAAGUCGGGUGUGAAAUCUCAGAGCUCAACUCUGAAACUGCACUCGAUACUGCUUUGCUCGAGGACUGGAGAGGAGAUUGGAAUUCACGGUGUAGCAGUGAAAAUGCGUAGAUAUCGUGAGGAAGACCAGUGGCGAAGGCGGAUCUCUGGACAGUUCCUGACGCUGAGGCGCGAAGGCCAGGGGGAGCAAACGGGG
rnacentral:rRNA from 1 species